rnacentral:lncRNA from 1 species
ACUGACACUUUUCGGACUCAGCCUGCCUGCACCCAGGUGAUUAAAAGCUUUAUUGCUCACACAAAGCCUGUUUGGUGGUCUCUUCACAUGGAUGCGCAUGAAAUUUGGUGCGGUGACUCGGAUCGGGGGACCUCCCUUGGGAGAUCAAUCCCCUGUCCUCCUGUUCUUUGCUCCGUGAGAAAGAGCCACCUACGACCUCAGGUCCUCAGACCAACCAGGCCAAGAAACAUCUCACCAAUUUCAAAUCCGGUAAGCGGCCUCUUUUUACUCUCUUCUCCAACCUCCCUCACUAUCCCUCAACCUCUUUCUCCUUUCAAUCUUGGCGCCACACUUCAAUCUCUCCCUUCUCUUAAUUUCAAUUCCUUUCAUCUUCUGGUAGAGACAAAGGAGACAUGUUUUAUCCGUGGACCCAAAACUCCCACGCCCGUCAUGGACUGGGAAGGCAGCCUUCCCUUGGUGUUUAAUCCUUGCAGGGAUGCCUUUCUGAUUAUUCACCCAUGUUUCAAAGGUGUCAGACCACGCAGGGACGCCUGCCUUUGUCCUUCACCCUUAGCGGCAAGUCCCACUUUUCUGGGGAAGGCGCAAGUACCCCAACCCCUUCUCUCCCUGUCUCUACCCCUUCUCUGCUUUUCUGGGGAAGGGGCAAGUACCCCUCAACCCCUUCUCUUUCACCCUGAGUGGCAAGUCCCGCUUUUCUACGGGGCAAGAACCCCCAAUCCCUUAUUUCCACGCCCCAACCUCUUAUCUCUGUGCCCCAAUCCCUUAUUUCCGUGUCCCAACCUCUUAUCUCUGCACCCCAAUCCCUUAUUUCCACGCCCCAACCUUGUAUCUCUGUGCCCCAAUCCCUUAUUUCCACGCCCCAACCUCUUAUAUCUCUGCACCCCAAUCCCUUAUUUCCAUGCCCUGACCUCUUAUUUCUGCGCCCCAUCCCUUAUUUCUGCACCCUGACCUCUUAUCUCUGCGCCCCAACCCCUUUCCCACUUUUCUGGAAGGUAAGAACCCCUGAACCCCUUCCCUCCAUUUCUCUACUCUUUCUUUUCUCUAGGCUUGCUUCCUUCACUAUGGGCAAUCUUCCACCCUCCAUUCCUCCUUCUACUCCCUUGGCCUGUGUUCUCAAAAACUUAAAACCUCUUCAAUUCACACCUGACCUAAAACCUAAAUGCCUUAUUUUCUUCUGCAAUGCCGCUUGACCCCAAUACAAACUCGACAGUAGUUCCAAAUAGCCAGAAAAUGGCACUUUGAAUUUUUCCAUCCUGCAAGAUCUAAAUAAUUCUUGUCGUAAAAUAGGCAAACAGUCUUAGGUGCCUGACGUCCAGGCAUUCUUUUACAUAUCAGUCCCUUCCUAGUCUCUGUGCCCAGUGCAACUCGUCCCAAAUCUUCCUUCUUUCCCUCCCACCUGUCCCCUCAGUACCAACGCCAAGCGUUGCUGAGUCUUUCUAAUCUUCCUUUUCUAUAGACCCAUAUGACCUCUCCCUUCCUCCCCAGGCUGCUCCUCGCCAGGCCGAGCUAGUUCCCAAUUCUUCCUCAGCCUCUCCUCCUCCACCCUAUAAUCUUUUUAUCACCUCCCCUCCUCACACCUGGUCCGGCUUACAGUUUCGUUCCGUGACUAGCCCUCCCCCUCCUGCCCAGCAACUUACUCUUAAAAAUGUGGCUGGAGCCAAAGGCAUAGUCAAGGUUAAUGCUCCUUUUUCUUUAUCCCAAAUCGGAUAGCGUUUAGGCUCUUUUUCAUCAAAUAUAAAAAUCCAGCCCAGUUCAUGACUUGUUUGGCAGCAACCCUGAGACGCUUUACAGCCCUAGACCCUAAAAGGUCAAAAGGCCGUCUUAUUCUCAAAAUACAUUUUAUUACCCAAUCUGCUCCCGAUAUUAAAUAAAACUCCAAAAAUUAAAUUCCGGCCCUCAAACCCUACAACAGGAUUUAAUUAACCUCGCCUUCAAGGUGUACAAUAAUAGAAAAAAGUUGCAAUUCCUUGCCUUCACUGUGAGACAAACCCCAGCCAUGUCUCCAGCACACAAGAACUUCCAAACGCCUGAACCGCAGCGGCCAGGCGUUCCUCCAGAACCUCCUCCCCCAGGAGCUUGCUACACUUGCCGGAAAUCUGGCCACUGGGCCAAGGAAUGCCCGCAGCCCGGGAUUCCUCCUAAGCCACGUCCUAUCUGUGUGGGACCCCACUGAAAAUCAGACUGUUCAACUCACCUGGCAGCCACUCCCAGAGCCCCUGGAACUCUGGCCCAAGGCUCUCUGACUGACUCCUUCCCAGAUCUUCUCGGCUUAGCGGCUGAAGACUGACACUGCUCAAUCACCUUGGAAGCCCCCUAGACCAUCACGGACGCCGAGCUUCAGGUAACUCUCACAGUGGAAAGUAAGCCCAUCCCCUUCUUAAUCAAUACAGAGGCUCCCCACUCCACAUUACCUUCUUUUCAAGGGCCUGUUUCCCUUGCCUCCAUAACUGUUGUAGGUAUUGACGACCAGGCUUCUAAACCUCUUAAAACUCCCCAACUCUGGUGCCAACUUAGACAAUACUCUUUUAAGCACUCCUUUUUAGUUAUCCCCACCUGCCCAGUUCCCUUAUUAGGCUGAGACACUUUAACUAAAUUAUCUGCUUCCCUGAUUAUUCCUGGACUACAGCUAUAUCUCAUUGCCGCCCUUCUUCCCAAUCCAAAGCCUCCUUUGCGUCCUCCUCUUGUAUCCCCCCACCUUAACCCACAAGUAUAAGAUACCUCUACUCCCUCCUUGGCGACCCAUCAUGCACCCCUUACCAUCUCAUUAAAACCUAAUCACCCUUACCCCACUCAAUGCCAAUAUCCCAUCCCACAGCACACUUUAAAAAGAUUAAAGCCUGUUAUCACUCACCUGCUACAGCAUGGCCUUUUAAAGCCUAUAAACUCUCCUUACAAUUCCCCCAUUUUACCUGUCCUAAAACCAGACAAGCCUUACAAGUUAGUUCAGGAUCUGCGCCUUAUCAACCAAAUUGUUUUGCCUAUCCACCCCGUGGUGCCAAACCCAUAUACUCUCCUAUCCUCAAUACCUGCCUCUACAACCCAUUAUUCUGUUCUAGAUCUCAAACAUGCUUUCUUUACUAUUCCUUUGCACCCUUAAUCCCAGCCUCUCUUCACUUUCACUUGGCCUGACCCUGACACCCAUCAAGCUCAGCAAAUUACCUAGGCUGUACUGCCGCAAAGCUUCACAGACAGCCCCCAUUACUUCAAUCAAGCCCAAAUUUCUUCCUCAUCUGUUACCUAUCUCGGCAUAAUUCUCAUAAAAAAACACGUGCUCUCCCUGCCAAUCGUGUCCGACUGAUCUCUCAAACCCCAACACCUUCUACAAAACAACUCCUUUCCUUCCUAGGCAUGGUUAGUGCGGUCAGAAUUCUUACAGAAGAGCCAGGACCGCACCCUGUAGCCUUUCUGUCCAAACAACUUGACCUUACUGUUUUAGCCUAGCCCUCAUGUCUGCGUGCAGCAGCUGCCGCUGCUUUAAUACUUUUAGAGGCCCUCAAAAUCACAAAGUAUGCUCAACUCACUCUCUACAGUUCUCAUAACUUCCAAAAUCUAUCUUCUUCCUCAUACCUGACGCAUAUACUUUCUGCUUCCCGGCUCCUUCAGCUAUACUCACUCUUUAUUGAGUCUCCCACAAUUACCGUUGUUCCUGGCCUGGACUUCAAUCCGGCCUCCCACAUUAUUCCUGAUACCACACCUGACCCCCAUGACUGUAUCUCUCUGAUCCACCUGACAUUCACACCAUUUCCCCAAAUUUCCUUCUUUCCUGUUCCUCACCCUGAUCACGCUGGAUUUAUUGAUGGCCUAAUCGCCACAAACCAGCAAAGGCAGGUUAUGCUAUAGUACAAGCCACUAGCCCGCCUCUUAGAACCUCUCAUUUCCUUUCCAUCGUGGAAUUCUAUCCUCAAGGAAAUAACUUCUCAGUGUUCCAUCUGCUAUUCUACUCCUCAGGGAUUAUUCAGGCCCCCUCCCUUCCCUACACAUCAAGCUUGAGGAUUUGCCCCACCCAGGACUGGCAAAUUAGCUUUACUCAACAUGCCCUGAGUCAGAUAACUAAAAUACCUCUUAGUCUAGGUAGAUACUUUCACUGGAUAGGUAGAGGCCUUUCCUACAGGGUCUGAGAAGGCCACCGCAGUCAUUUCUUCCCUUCUGUCAGACAUAAUUCCUCAGUUUAGCCUUCCCACCUCAAUACAGUCUGAUAACAGACGAGCCUUUAUUAGUCAAAUGAGCCAAGCAGUUUUUCAGGCUCUUGGUAUUCAGUGAAACCUUUAUAUCCCUUACGGUCCUCCGUCUUCAAGAAAAGUAGAAUGGACUAAAGGUCUUUUAAAAACACACCUCACCAAGCUCAGCCACCAACUUAAAAAGGACUGGACAAUACUUUUACCACUUUCCCUUCUCAGAAUCCAGGCCUGUCCUCGGAAUGCUACAGGGUACAGCCCAUUUAAGCUCCUGUAUAGACACUCCUUUUUAUUAGGCCCCAGUCUCAUUCCAGACACCAGACCAACUUAGACUGUGCCCCCAAAAAACUUGUCAUCCCUGCUAUCUUCUGUCUAGUCAUACUCCUAUUCACCGUUCUCAACUACUCAUACAUGCCCUGCUCUUGUUUACACUGCCGGUUUACACUGUUUUUCCAAGCCAUCACAGCUGAUAUCUCCUGGUGUUAUCCCCAAACUGCCACUCUUAACUCUUGAAAUAAAUAAAUAAUCUUUGCUGGCAGGACUAUGCCGAAUCUCCUUAGGCACUCUCUAAUCAGAUAUCCUGAGUCGUCCCAAUUCUUAGACCUUUUAUACCUGUUUUUCUCCUUCUGUUAUUCCAUUUAGUUUCCCAAUUCAUCCAAAACCGUAUCCAGGCCAUCACCAAUCAUUCUAUAUGACAAAUGUUUCUUAUAACAUCCCCACAAUAUCACCCCUUACCACAAUACCUCCCUUCACCUUAAUCUCUCCCACUCUAGGUUCCCACGCCGCCCCUAAUCCCGCUUGAAGCAGCCCUGAGAAACAUCGCCCAUUCUCUCUCCAUACCACCCCCCCAAAAAUUUUUGCCGCCCCAACACUUCAAUGCUAUUUUGUUUUAUUUUUCUUAUUAAUAUAAGAAGGCAGGAAUGUCAGGCCUCUGAGCCCAAGCCAAGCCAUCGCAUCCCCUGUGACUUGCACGUAUACGUCCAGAUGGCCUGAAGUAAUUGAAGAAUCACAAAAGAAGUGAAUAUGCCCUGCCCCACCUUAACUGAUGACAUUCCACCACAAAAGAAGUGUAAAUGGCUGGUCCUUGCCUUAAGUGAUGACAUUACCUUGUGAAAGUCCUUUUCCUGGCUCAUCCUGGCUCAAAAAGCACCCCCACUGAGCACCUUGCGACCGCCACUCCUGCCCGCCAGAGAACAAACCCCCAUUGACUAUAAUUUUCCUUUACCUACCCAAAUCCUAUAAAAUGGCCCCACCCUUAUCUCCCUUCGCUGACUCUCUUUUCGGACUCAGCCUGCCUGCACCCAGGUGAUUAACAGCUUUAUUGCUCACACAAAGCCUGUUUGGUGGUCUCUUCACACGGACGCGCAUUAAAAAAACAUCCUUACAUAAUAUGUUAAAGGAUGCUAUACAAUAUGGGGAAAAUGAUAUAAGUAUAUGACCCAAGAGGAUGAAAAAAUUCACUUAUUGGCAGAAAGGACAACAUCAUUUGUAUGUAGAAAAUCACCUCUCAAAAUAGUAAGUUGCUGAAAGGGGAGUGGUUGCGCUAGAAUCAGCACCAAUGACUCUUUUAUCCUAUUUCUCAGUUUUAGGGGAAAAGACUCUACAAAACUACAGGUGUUUUGCUGACAGUAGAAAAAAACCUUCCCUUGUUAACAUGUUAGUCAAGCUUUGGAAAAGACAUCACAUGUCAAAUCCUAUCACAGGAUGCUUUAUAGAGAUUAUCUAUUUUAAAUUUUAUUGGAAUUUCGAUGACAUCAAGUUGUUAUUGCUUGGACCACAGUGGUGGUGGUUAUCUGAAGAUUUCUGCAAAAGUGCCAUGCCUCCUCAAAUAAGGCAAGUCAUCUAAAAAAUAUCCCUUAUAUAUAUUUUUCAUUUCUUUCAUCAUGUUACAGAGAAUUUCAGUGGUAUUCUAAGACUCAGCCUCCCCAAGGAACCAAAUCAAGCUUUUAUGCAUCAGUGGAAACCAGAAAUUACUAACAGUAUACACAGUGGCAAUGGCCAGAGAUUACUCUUUCAUCUGGUUCAACCCCUAGAGACACAAGGUCUCAUCCUGUUCACACCCAAAUCCCCCUCCUUCCCCAAACACACAGCCUCCACAUGCAUUCUCUGACAAGCCUGAGUAAUAUUUCAUCAGUUCUCCCUAGCCACUCAGUCCAGGUUUUAAUAUAGCUGGAAUAUCUUGGGUAGCUUUAUCAAGAUGUAAACCUUAUAAUCAAGGCUUAGUUCAAAAUUUAAGUUUUUCCAGCUGUCAACUGACAUACAACUGUAUAAAAUCUGAAACUUUCCCUAUCAAAGUUCUCAAUGUUAAAAUCUCCCCCUAGUGGAUUUUCAGAGCAUGUGUUUUCACAAGUAAAACUGAAUAGAAUUUUCAAAAAAAAAAAAAAAAUGCUAAAAAUUUCAUAUGUGUGAAAAAUAAGACCUAUUAAUCUCAAAGUUCAGAGGGGAAAAAAUGCAAUUUCAUUUAAAAGCUUGCCAUCAAAAAAAUUCUAAAACUAAAGUAGAAUAGUUUUGGUUUACUCUAGUCUUAUGUGCAAGUGUGAAUAUUGAGUUUUACAAGUUUUUCUUGUGUGUCAUUAUCCUCUAUUAAGUUAAGGCAUUUUAAUGGACUAAACAUGGUAAUUUCUUACUUAAUUGUUUAGUGAAGAGAGGCAUAAUGUUUCAAUUAGGAAAGAAUGAUCCCCCACAUGAGUGAAUCUGCCAUCUGUGUAUUCUCAUCUGUUAAAACUGUUAGUCAAAUCAACAAAAGUCCAAGUGCAAAGUCCCUAAACCAGUUGAAAUGGGCACACACUUGCUCUAGGGAAGGGGAAAUUUUAUUUUAAUUGAUUUUGUUCCAGCAGCAAUCCCUCUUCCUUUCCUGGGAAUACAUUUUGGCUGGGAUUUUGUGGCAUCAAUACAAAUCACUUCAAAGCAGCUAUUGCUCAUUUAUCCUCUACCUAGCGGCUCUGCUGACCCACCACUUGGAUAUCCAUUUUCCUGAGGUGGGGCAAAGAUGAGGCAUGACAAGACCACAGGAAUGGUGUAGGAAAAAACUACAGAGAAAUACUCAUACAGAAGACAGCACAAAGCUGCCUGCAGUACUGAUCGUCACAUGUUUAGAACUGGGAAAUGGUGGUCAGUUGUUAACAGAAAAUGCAUUUUCUUUGGUACCAAAAUACCAAUGGCUCAUCAAUCUUAAUACUUUUAUAAUAACAUUUUUUAAGGUUAAAUUCUUUCAAAACAUGUCACUCCAAAUUUCUGAUGAGGUCUAGUUACUUUUAAAUAAUUAGGCAACAUGAAUAGAGGAGAAGACUGAGGCAAUUAUUGGAUUCAUUGAGGAAUGCAUAAAACAUAAAAAUGACUUAAAUUUGCUAUUUAUGUAAUUUCGUGGUCUCAAAACCACACUUUAAUUGAAUCGAGUUUAGUAAGAGAUAAGACCACAGCAGUGUGGCAUGAUGUUUAAGAACACAGGCCUUAGGGUAGAUUGUUAGAGUCAAAUUCGAGCUCUGACUGUGUGACUUUGAGCCAGUUAUUUAACCUCUCUGUGCCUUGGUUUCUUCAUCUGCAAAAUGAGAGUAGUAAAUAGAAGCUUCCUCAUAGUGUAGUUGGAAGGGUUAAAUAUGCUGAAACCGUAAAUGGAAAGUACUUAGUACACACAGAUCCCACAGCUUUUUUUGUUCACUUUCAGACAUUAACAGUCUUAUUUUCAGACAUUAUUUUAAAAAUCCUUUUUAAAUUGAAACUUUCAUUUCUCAUUGAACUUAAAUCUCUUUGUCCCUAUACCAGCUCCAGCAUGACCUAUGCUUGGAUCCUGUAGUAGGGAAGAGGGAAGCGGUUAAUUCUUUAUCAUGUCUUUGCAGUAUUUUUUUACUCUACCUCCCUCACCCCUUUCUCUGUCUUUGGUUCCUGCAGGGGAGAGGGAAAAUCAUUUGGGGACAGCCAACUUCUUCCUUGAGCGGUGCAGUUAUAAUCAUGCAUUGUGCCCUCUGUGAGUGCUUCUUUCUCCUUUGAAAUUCUUCAGUGGGUUCUUCAGCAUCGCCCACUCUGUUGCUGGAGACCACCCAUUGUGCCCUUGGAUGGCGUGCCCAAUAUCCUUGGCCAGCUGGCUGCAUUCCCCACUCAGCUACUGAUUGUUGAUUGUUGUGCUUCACGAACUUCCCGCUGAGCGUCCUCUCAUCCUGGGGUGGAGAGCAGGCCCAUCACGGGGCUCCCACCUGCCUGCCUGCCAUACUGUCCAUGCCAGUGCCUGAGAAACACCGCCUCUGCUCCACUUUCAGUGGGAACCAGCGUUUUGCACCCCCCUCCAUAGCCUUUUCUCUUCACUCUACCACCUGAAGCAAUUCCCACUGGGCCGCUUCUUCACCUUUAAGUUUUCCAGGUAAGAAUCAGACAUCAGUCUCUGUGUCUUGUCAAAUGUUCAGGGAUACUACCAAGCUCUUUAAGUGGUCUUAUAGAAGCCUCCACAGUUUACAGAUGGGGUAAGCACCCACUUUCCAUCUUUUGUGGGAAGAAAAAUGCACAGCACUCUGAGAACUGUCUCUAAGGAAUUAAUCACUAUCAACUUCCUUUCUACUCUCAUAUAUGGAGGUAGGCAAUGGGCUAAGGGGGUGGACUAGCACCUCUCUUUAGAAAGUGGAUACAUUUCCCAAUUGCAGUCAUCAGGUUGGGAGCCUGGGGCCUCACUGGAAAUUGAGACAAAAUAAAAGUUAAGUUCAACUUAGACUGUGCAUAUGUAACAUUCAAACAUUUGGGUUAUUUGAGUCAGUGAGUUCAGUGAUUAGUAUGAAUCCUUACCAUGUGGUAGACUAGAUUGACUUCAGUAUGACGUAGAUAGGUGUGAUUAAUAACUUAGAGUUAUUUUAGCUGAGGGUGUGUCAUGUACCAAAAACUGGUGAAUGGAACAUAGUUCACAGUGUUGGAAUUAUGGGACUCAACUGGAUAGGCAGGAGGAAAAAGAAAGGGUAAGUAUCAUACACAUAGAAACUGUCAGUAUUUUUUAGACUGCAGAAGUGAAUGUCAGACCUACUGUAUUAAGCUCUUAAGCAAGGGACAAAACUGGAUUUUUCAAGUCUGGGGCUAAUUCAAAAACAGUGUUACAUUGUAACCCAUACCUCAGAAAUUAUUUUAUAAUAGCUAAAUAUUUACAUAGUGCUUACUAUAUGCCAGACACUGUUUUAAACACUUUUAAUGUAUUUAAUCCUUUUAACAAUUUUACAAGAUAGAUGCACUGUUACUUCCUUUUACAAAUGAGGAAAAUGAAGCACAGAGGGAUCAAACAACCAGCACAAGGUUAAAGUCAUGGAAAAUAUGAGAUGUAAGCCCUGAUGUUUGGUAUUAGACUACACUUUGCUUUCACAAACAUUAUCUUGUGAUUUAUGUCACAAAUAAAUCACAUUAUAUAGCAAUGAUAAAGCAAUUCCAAAAGAUAGGCAUAUCAGACUCAAGCAUACUCAAUGAAUCACUUAGCUAUGGGAUGAUAGGGGCUGCCUAGAAAAUAAUAGACUGUUGUAGCUCCUGUUCCAGUUCCUUCUACCACCUUCUGACGGGUAUGUUUUGUUUGCCAUUUAACUUACAUCACAACAUGUUAAUUUCAAGAAUAAAUUUAUUAGUGUUUUUCUAAAAGUAAAAAUAAUUGAGGAGAAAAUAAAUCAGCAAAUGUUAUAUUAAAUAGAACAGACACUUACGGCCUGGAGUCUUUUCAUUUUUAAGGUAUAAAAAGCUUUUAUUGCUUUUAUCUUACUUAAAAAGCAAUGCGUGCUUAUGACUGAAGAAUUAGAAAAUCUCUGCAAAAGGGAGAAGAAAGCAUUCACAACCCAACUACCUGAUGAUAACCACUGUUAAUAUCUUAGUAACUGUCCUUUCAAGCCUAUGCAUAUAUAUGUUCAUUUAAUGUGUGUGUGUGUAUUUACAUCAUUAUUUAUAUAACAUUUUUAUUUUUGACUGGGGGAAGAGCAAAAUUUUAUUUUGGAAUGAAAAAGGCCAACGGGGUAGUCAGAAAAGAAUAAAGUGAGUGGUGUGGCAUCCUCUCUCCAUCUUCUUGGUGGCUUGGGUUAUACAUCUGUGCUUCAAGUUCUUCCAAAGGCCCAACUGUUUUGUUUGGUGUGCAUGUUUGCUUACCUUGAAAGUUAUCAAUCAAGCUCAGAGUCCGUUAAAUAAAAUAUAGCCUAUCAUCUAUCUUCAUUAUGACCUGGAAAGACAGAGUCCAAUUUAGACUCCUAGCCCUCUUCACAAGCUCUACCCUGGAACUUGCCCCCACCAGUAGCCUGUCCUACUUCAACUUCCAUUCCUGGCUUUGUCCUGCCCAGUGAAUAGGCUCAUGUACAUUAGGACAGAUACCUGAACCCCUAUGGCCAAGCUCAUUACUCAUCUGCCACAUCCUCUCCUAGUCACCUCUGAGCCUCUUCUUGGCCAUGUAUUUGGCUCACACUUCCCUGGAAGUGGGUUUGGAGCCUCUGGGCAGGGAGUCAUGGAGUCUAGAAGAUUGUGAUCUAGCGUAUGGGCUAGAUGUGGCUUGCGGGCUCAGACUGGGCACUUGUUGGCUGCAGGAACUCCUUCCCUUGCCGGGAAGGAUGUGGCUAGAAGCGGGAAAGAACAGGAUCUUCAUGUAUUCUCUAUAUGAGGUGCUGAUCAAAAUAAAUAAUUAUUUACACCUAGAGAUGUUCUCUAAAUUAUGACUGUAGAAAGUAGGUAAGUAAGUUAAAAUUGGGAAUGUGUAGCUUUAGCAUGCCAACACCUACAUCUGCAGAAUCCCCAUGGUUUAUGUGCGCUGUUGCCUUUGACUGGAACAACCUUCAUCAGACAUGUGCCCUUUUACUUUCACCUUAUUCAUAACUGCUCAAACAUCUUCUUUCCUUCCCUUUCCAUCUAAUCUAUACCAAGUGCACCCACCCCUCCAGCACUCUGUAUCCUCUCACCCCCACUUAUCUUCUUAGAACUUAUCACGAAAUGAAAUUACAGUACCUGUACUUGUUUACUGUCUUUCUGCCCUACUAGAAUUCCACAGAAAAUUAAUCUAAUUUGUCAUUAUAUCUAUUGUGCCUAGAACAGUGCCUGCCACCCAGUGGGCAUUCCCUAAGUAUUUGCUAAAUUACUAAGUUACAAUUAAAAACACACAUUACUCAUACAUAGUGGAAUUCUGAUAUUAAUUUCCACUUCCUUUUAACUAAGAAAUGGGGCAAAUAACUGGAAAUAAAUCUUUUCUACUGCAGUCUGAAUUUUACUUCCAUAAAAUAAAACACAUACAAAUAAUUUUUUAAAAUUAGGAUAUAAUAUCAGAAACCACUGCAUUGGCUAAUGGCAUAAGCAGCGAAAUCUUGGCUCAACCAAACAGUCAACAAAGAAGGAGUGUAGGCCAGGUGUCCCCACCUAGGCUAUGCUAUCUUCUUACUUCCUUCUUCUGGCAGGAAAGGAGAUGUCAGGCUGUAGGAAAGUAGUAGCACGGGCUACUUCCUCAAGGACUAAGUAAAGUAGCAUUCCAUGCUGUGGGCAAAAGGAGACAGGGGCAGGGCCAGGUGCUGGUGAGGAGAGGCAGUCCACUCUCAAGAGGGGACAGUGAGGUGAGGAUCCAGGACCUCUUUCCGGACCACUCCUGGUAGUUCUGAGUUCCAGUCUGACAGCUCACAGACACAGCCCCCCAUUUUGCCUCCAGCAGGAGAAGACAAGGAGAUGGAGAGACUGUCAACCUAGAACCAGUAAUGACCAGUUCCAACUUAAUUACAGAAAGGGAGAAAAGAUCAAUCAUUUAAGUUGCUUCAUCGUCUAAAUAAAAGUGUUUUGGCUGUUGAAACAUGAACCUAGACUCCUGCCUCAACAUAUUUAAAAUGAGAACAAAGUGGCAGUAUCAUGGUGGUGGGCGUUUAGAUGCUUACAUUGUUUUCAUCUACAAAACAGGCUUUCCUUUCACACCCUAGCUCUUUGCUGGGCUGGUGGAGCUGAUUGACAGAUAUAGCCCGCUCCAAAGGAACAGCCCUUUCUCAAGGAAUGAAUGAUUUGCUCUAAGUAUUUAAAUCCUCUGCUCAAAAUCAAACAUAAAUUGAAGUAUCAAAAUAAACAAAAAUAUGGUUUGUGGUUUUGAAAGCAUUUCUUUGUGAUUUUUGCUAAAAAGAGAAAUGCCAAAAAAAUUUUUUUAAAGAUUUUGAGACAAUUAUCUGGCGCAGUGGCUCACGCCUGUAAUCCCAGCACUUUGGGAGGCUGAGGCAGGCAGAUCAUGAGGUCAGGAGAUCAAGACCAUCCUGGCCAACAUGUUGAAACCCCAUCUCUACUAAAAAUAUAAAAAUUAGCUGGGCAUGAUGGGCGCCUGUAAUCCCAGCUACUCAGGAGGCAGAGGCAAGAUAAUCACUUGAAUCCAGGAGGUGGGGGUUGCAAUGAGCCAAGAUCAUGCCACUGCACUCCAACCUGGGC